rnacentral:rRNA from 1 species
CAUGAUCUGAGUUCAGACCGGCCGCCUGUUUAUCAAAAACAUCGCCUCUUGUAAACCACAGAUAAGAGGUCCCGCCUGCCCUGUGACUAUGGGUUCAACGGCCGCGGUAUUUUGACCGUGCAAAGGUAGCGCAAUCACUUGUCCUUUAAAUGAGGACCUGUAUGAAAGGCAUCACGAGGGCUUAGCUGUCUCCUUUUUCAAGUCAAUGAAAUUGAUCUCCCCGUGCAGAAGCGGGGAUUAGAACAUAAGACGAGAAGACCCUAUGGAGCUUUAGACACAAGACAGAUCAUGUUAAGCACCUCAGAUAAAAGAGCAAACUAAGUGGAACCUGUCUUAAUGUCUUUGGUUGGGGCGACCGCGGGGCAACAAAAAGCCCCCAUGAGGAAUAAAAGUAUUCUUUCAAAAACAAGAGCCACAGCUCUAAUGAGCAGAACAUCUGACCUACCAGAUCCGGCAUAGCCGAUCAACGAACCGAGUUACCCUAGGGAUAACAGCGCAAUCCCCUUUUAGAGCCCCUAUCGACAAGGGGGUUUACGACCUCGAUGUUGGAUCAGGACAUCCUAAUGGUGCAACCGCUAUUAAGGGUUCGUUUGUUCAACGAUUAAAGUCCUACAUGAUCUGAGUUCAGACCGG